UGGAAGAGUCUUCCGUGAGCUUAUGAGAAGCCUUUGUAGCCCAGCAAUGGGUUAUCCACCGCGACUGUAAAUAAGAGAAUGUGGGUAUUAAAUGCAAGUCAGCUUUGGCUGGCGACACUUUCGAAUUGCGGGAACACCUUAAAGCCAAUCUCCACCAACCUAGUAGGGAAAUCUACUUGGGGCUCAUGCUAACAACAUGAGGUAUGGUAAUAGCGAGCUUGGAUGUCACAAUAGGCAAUCCGCAGCCAAGUCCCUAAGGCAUAUCUUGCUAUGGGAAAGGUUCACAGACUAAGUGGAAGUGGGUUGCUUCGCGCAGCUUAAGAUAUAGUCGGGUUCUGUAGGAAACUAUGGAAGAGUCACACUUUGUGAUUGUAACAAACUGUUCCGUAGGUGAACCUGCGGAAGGAUCAUUAAUAAAAUUUAUAGUCGUAACAAACUAUAUCAACCCUUUGUGAACCAAAAAACCUUUUCGCUUCGGUAGCAGGCUUGGGUGCGAAAGCUCCCCAAGCUGUCAGCCUGCCGGCAGCACCAAACCAAAAACUUGUUAUAAAUUUUGUCUGAACAGAAUCAUUUUCGAAUGAAAAUUAAAACUUUCAACAACGGAUCUCUUGGUUCUCGCAUCGAUGAAGAACGCAGCGAAACGCGAUAGUUAAUGUGAAUUGCAGAAUUCAGUGAAUCAUCGAGUCUUUGAACGCACAUUGCGCCUAUAGGUAUUCCUUUAGGCAUGUCUGUUUGAGCGUCAUUACAACCCUCAGCGCAAGCUGGUUAUGAGUUGGCUGCAGCCUCUGUUCGCAAGAACGAGGUGAAAUCCGGCUUUAAAGUUGUAUGCUCUGCUGGCUGCUUUGCCCGACCAAAACAUAGUAAAAUUUACGACUGUUUACAACGGCUUUGCUUGCUCGGCCUGAAUAAAACUCAACCCUUUCUUAGGUUGACCUCAGAUCAGAUAAGUGCCGGUUCU
rnacentral:rRNA from 1 species